rnacentral:rRNA from 1 species
AGUGAACGCUGGCGGUAGGCCUAACACAUGCAAGUCGAACGGCAGCACAGUAAGAGCUUGCUCUUACGGGUGGCGAGUGGCGGACGGGUGAGGAAUACAUCGGAAUCUACUUUUUCGUGGGGGAUAACGUAGGGAAACUUACGCUAAUACCGCAUACGACCUACGGGUGAAAGUAGGGGAUCUUCGGACCUUGCGCGAUUGAAUGAGCCGAUGUCGGAUUAGCUAGUUGGCGGGGUAAAGGCCCACCAAGGCGACGAUCCGUAGCUGGUCUGAGAGGAUGAUCAGCCACACUGGAACUGAGACACGGUCCGGACUCCUACGGGAGGCAGCAGUGGGGAAUAUUGGACAAUGGGCGCAAGCCUGAUCCAGCCAUACCGCGUGGGUGAAGAAGGCCUUCGGGUUGUAAAGCCCUUUUGUUGGGAAAGAAAAGCAGCAGGUUAAUACCCCGCUGCUCUGACGGUACCCAAAGAAUAAGCACCGGCUAACUUCGUG